ensembl:snRNA U6 U6 spliceosomal RNA
GUGCUUGCUUUGGCAGCACAUAUACUAAAAUUGGAAUGAUACAGAGAAGAUCAGCAUGGCCCCUGUGCAAGGAUGCACACAAAUUCGUGAAGCAUUCCAUAUUUUU